rnacentral:rRNA from 1 species
AUUGAACGCUGGCGGCAGGCUUAACACAUGCAAGUCGAACGAGUGGCGGACGGGUGAGUAAUUCUUGGGCAUCUGGCUUAUGGAGGGGGAUAACGACGGUAAACUGUCGCUACUACCGCUUACCAUAGGAUGAGCUCAAGUGGGAUUAGGUAGUUGGUGGGGUAAUGGCCUACCAAGCCGACGAUCUCUAGCUGGUCUGAGAGGCUGACCGGCAACACUGGGACUGAGACACGGCCCGGACUCCUACGGGAGGCAGCAGUGGGGAAUAUUGCGCAAUGGGGGCAAGCCUGAUCCAGCCAUGCCGCGUGACUGAAGAAGGCCUUCGGGUUGUAAAGGACUGUUGUCAGGGAAGCGGUACCUGAAGAAAAAGCACCGGCUAACUACGUGCCAGCAGCCGCGGUAAUAC